rnacentral:rRNA from 1 species
UUCAGUGAUGGGGUGACACAGAGUGGUAGCCACGCCGUUUAUUGGAUUGCGGUGUAAGCGUGCAGCAUGCAGGUUAGUGAAAUGCGGCCUGCGUAUAUGUCAGGCGUGAUGCGUAGCCCAUGUGUGGGUGAUGGUGGUGAUCCUGUGCUGUCGAGAAAAGCCUCUAGCGAUGUGUGUGUACGGCCCGUACCCGAAACCGACACAGGUAGUCAGGUAGAAAAUACUCAGGCGGUCGGGUGAACUGUGGUUAAGGAACUCGGCAAAUUGCCCCCGUAACUUCGGGAGAAGGGGGGCCAUAACUGGUGAUCUAAUCUUGCGUUGG